UAACGCGUGAGUAACCUGCCUUUCAGAGGGGGACAACAGCUGGAAACGGCUGCUAAUACCGCAUAAUAUAUACAGGUCGCAUGAUUUGUAUAUCAAAGAUUUAUCGCUGAAAGAUGGACUCGCGUCUGAUUAGCUAGUUGGCGGGGUAACGGCCCACCAAGGCGACGAUCAGUAGCCGGACUGAGAGGUUGAACGGCCACAUUGGGACUGAGACACGGCCCAG
rnacentral:rRNA from 1 species